GGGUCGUUCAAAAUCCUUUGAGAUCACAGACCAGAAGCCGUCCGAUCCAGAGGACCCUUCACCAACGUCGGCGACACCUGGCGAGUGGAUCUGGGUGAAAAAACACCAUCGAAAGAACCUAGAAGACCGGUGGGAGGGGCCAUACAAGGUACUCUUGGCCACACCCUUUUCUGUUUCUGUAGAGGACCGACGCGUGGCCCAGUGGCACCACCUGAGCCGGUGCCGCAAAGCAGAUACUCCUGGCAGAUCGUGGACUGAGACCCUGACCGACCUAGCUGCACUCCAAGCCAAGGACAAACACUCCUCAUCCGAAGACGAUGGGCUACAGCGUGCCCUUGGAAAAUUACCUGGUAGGAUUCCUUCUGGUAGUCCUGUUCCAAGAAGGAGCGGGAGACAACAUCGCUAGGUACCCACCGCCUAAACCACCAACAACAACAGGAUGGACCGGGUCUACCAGGCAGAAAAGUACAUGUG
ensembl:lncRNA